UUUUAAACAUGGUAGUAGGUAUUGCUGAGGAUUGUAUCCUCAAAGGGGAUUAAAGUAGUUUAAAAUUACUGUCCUCCUGAGAAGAUACGUAAGUCCCAAA